AGCUCCAAUAGCGUAUAUUAGUGUUGUUGCGGUUAAAAAGCUCGUAGUUGAAUUUCGGGAUUGUGGCAUAUCGGUCAUGGCUUUAGGGACAUGAAUUGGUGUGUGGACAAUUCUCACCUUCUGGUGAAUCGGGAUGCUCUUGGGUGUUUCGAUGAACUAGGACUUUUACUUUGAAAAAAUUAGAGUGUUUAAAGCGGGCAUUUUUGCUUGAAUACAUUAGCAUGGAAUAAUAAAAUAGAACGAUGGUUCUAUUUUGUUGGUUUUAGGAUCACGUAAUGAUUAAUAGGGAUAGUUGGGGGCAUUAGUAUUCAAUUGUCAGAGGUGAAAUUCUUGGAUUUAUUGAGGACUAACUACUGCGAAAGCAUUUGCCAAGGAUGUUUUCA
rnacentral:rRNA from 1 species